GACGAACGCUGGCGGCGUGCCUAAUACAUGCAAGUCGAACGCAGUGGGGACGGGUGAGUAACACGUGGGUAACCUCCCAUCAGAGGGGAUAACACUUGGAAACAGGUGCUAAACCGAUACGGAAGGAUGACCCCGCGGUGCAUUAGCUAGUUGGUGAGGUAACGGCUCACCAAGGCCACGAUGCAUAGCCGACCUGAGCGGUGGAUCGGCCAGACUGGGAUUGAGACACGGCCCAGAUUCACACGGGAGGCAGCAGUAGGAAUUCUUAGGAAAUGGACGAAAGUCUGGCCGAGCAACGCCGCGUGAGUGAAGAAGUGUUUCGGAUCGUAAAACUCUGUUGUUAGAGAAGCGGUAUCUAACCAGAAAGCCACGGCUAACUACGUGCCAGCAGCCGCGGUAAUUC
rnacentral:rRNA from 1 species